rnacentral:rRNA from 1 species
CCUACGGGAGGCAGCAGUCGAGAAUCAUUCACAAUGGGGGAAACCCUGAUGGUGCGACGCCGCGUGGGGGAAUGAAGGUCUUCGGAUUGUAAACCACUGUCAUGUGGGAGCAAAUUAAAAAGAUAGUACCACAAGAGGAAGAGACGGCUAACUCUGUGCCAGCAGCCGCGGUAAUACAGAGGUCUCAAGCGUUGUUCGGAAUCACUGGGCGUAAGGCGUGCGUAGGCUGUUUCGUAAGUCGUGUGUGAAAGGCGCGGGCUCAACCCGCGGACGGCACAUGAUACUGCGAGACUAGAGUAAUGGAGGGGGAACCGGAAUUCUCGGUGUAGCAGUGAAAUGCGUAGAUAUCGGGAGGAACACUCGUGGCGAAGGCGGGUUCCUGGACAUUAACUGACGCUGAGGCACGAAGGCCAGGGGAGCGAAAGGGAUUAGAUACCCUUGUAGUC